GCGCGGUUUACGUUGUGACACAUGGGUGUUCUGUGGUGACACGCACAGUGCAGUGGCGCUUGCCCCGCCUGAUGCGAACUGCAAGAAAUGACGGUGGUGUGCUGUCGGACAUUUUGGCGGUAACCGUUACGACGAGGCGGAGUGGUGGAGUUGCUAGGAGGCGCAAACAAAGAAAGCAUUCUUGCGAUCUGUGAGUGCAACGAGGAAAACGCGGCUGCUUUGGAUGAAAAAGUAUCUGAGAAGCCUGCAGAAAGUGACCACGCUUCCAGCAACCCAAUCCCUUGUCCUGAUGCACUACUUGAACUGAAGGACAUGGUCACAGAUCCCUUUUGCAUGGACCUUGGGCGAACGAAAAUGCUUUUGGCCGCAACUGCAGAGGCCCACAGCUCCAAUGCACCAGAUGAUUUGCCAUCAUACUUUUUAAAUCCGGACGUGGCACAAGAACUUGGCAACAGGUGUCCACCAGGCCCAUGCAUUUUGAAAGAGAAUGGCAACUUCAAAAUUGCCUGCAAGGAAAACAUUGUGGCGUUACCACCUGCAUCAUCACCUGAGAAGGCAGUCAUCCUCCUGUUGACUGUAUAUUUUAUUCUAAAUCUGUCAUACACAUACGCUUUUGGACAGUUUUUGGUACUUGUGCAGGCAGUUGUUGUGAAGGGUGAGCCAUUUGACAGUGGCUUGAU